AUACGUAGGUGACAAGCGUUAUCCGGAUUUACUGGGCGUAAAGGGCGUGUAGGCGGUCUUGCAAGUCAGAAGUGAAAUUCCUGAGCUCAACUCGGGCGCUGCUUCUGAAACUGCAGGACUUGAGUGCUGGAGGGGAUAGCGGAAUUCCUAGUGGAGCGGUAAAAUGCGCAGAUAUUAGGAAGAACACCGGUGGCGAAGGCGACUUACUGGACUGUAACUGACGCUGAGGCGCGAAAGUGUGGGGAGCAAACAGGAUUAGAUACCCUGGUAGUCCACACUGUAAACGAUGAAUGCUAGGUGUAGGGGGUAUCGACCCCUUCUGUGCCGCAGUCAACACAAUAAGCAUUCCGCCUGGGGAGUACGGCCGCAAGGUUGAAACUCAAAUGAAUUGGCGGGG
rnacentral:rRNA from 1 species